AUUGAACGCUGGCGGCAGGCUUAACACAUGCAAGUCGAGCGGGGUGAUGGUGCUUGCACUAUCACUUAGCGGCGGACGGGUGAGUAAUGCUUAGGAAUCUGCCUAUUAGUGGGGGACAACAUCUCGCUAGGGAUGCUAAUACCGCAUACGUCCUACGGGAGAAAGCAGGGGAUCACUUGUGACCUUGCGCUAAUAGAUGAGCCUAUGUCGGAUUAGCUAGUUGGUGGGGUAAAGGCCUACCAAGGCGACGAUCUGUAGCGGGUCUGAGAGGAUGAUCCGCCACACUGGGACUGAGACACGGGCCAGACUCCUACGGGAGGCAGCAGUGGGGAAUAUUGGACAAUGGGGGGAACCCUGAUCCAGCCAUGCCGCGUGUGUGAAGAAGGCCUUAUGGUUGUAAAGCACUUUAAGCGAGGAGGAGGCUCUUUUGGUUAAUACCCAAGAUGAGUGGACGUUACUCGCAGAAUAAGCACCGGCUAACUCUGUGCCAGCCGCCGCCGUAA
rnacentral:rRNA from 1 species